GGUGCAAAUAGGAGAAACCUGACUCCGGGGGGUGGGGAGAAACUCUAUAAAGAAUUGUCCAGUUCCGCUUCAAGAUGGUGGCCUCAGAGGGUCUGGGCUCUGCUCCUCCUGUUAGAGUCUACAGAUAAAUGUGGAAGAAGUUUCCCUGGAAAAAAACCUAAAAAACUCUCUGAGUGACUCCUGUGCAUCCUGUCCGAAGGAGAGAGGCCCACACGAAAGCAGUUCUGGAACUCACCAGUAUAUCUUGAGCUGGACAGAACAUGCACUAUGAAUGCCAGCUUACAGAAGAGGAAAAAAUAAGGAUUCAGCAUGUUCUUUGACUUUGCUUGGUUCUCAACAGCCUGACUUCUUCAUGGCCACACAUCUGCUGCGACUUCUCUGUUCAUGAAAACUUUAUUGGCGACCUCUAUCAGCUGAGUGACAUUCAUCCCGGCAAAGCCCUCCAACUUCUGGAGUUUUCUUCUGAUAUCUGGGGCAGCCUGUGCCACAAAAGAGAUCAGGAGACAGUGACCCUGUUAUCCUCCUCUCCUUACUGAGUACCUCAAGUUCCUGGAACCUCAAAGGUCCUGGAAGGGAUGGAGUUGGGGCAGGUAAGAAUAACUGGCCAACGAAGGAAGUCUAUGGGCUUAUG